rnacentral:rRNA from 1 species
UCCUACGGGGGGCAGCAGUAGGGAAUUUUCGUCAGUGGGCGCAAGCCUGAACGAGCAAUGCCGCGUGAACGAGGAAGGUCUUCGGAUCGUAAAGUUCUGUUGAAGGGGAAAAAGAGCGGAGAGAGGAAAUGGUCUCCGAUUGAUAUUACCCUUCGGGGAAGUCACGGCUAACUACGUGCCAGCAGCCGCGGUAAUACGUAGGUGGCGAGCGUUAUCCGGAAUGAUUGGGCGUAAAGGGUGCGUAGGCGGCCUGCUAAGUCUGGAGUGAAAGGUACCGGCUCAACCGGUACAGGCUCUGGAAACUG